UUUUAUGGAGAGUUUGAUCCUGGCUCAGGACGAACGCUGGCGGCGUGCCUAAUACAUGCAAGUCGAGCGAACAGAAAAGGAGCUUGCUCCUUUGACGUUAGCGGCGGA
rnacentral:rRNA from 2 species